rnacentral:lncRNA from 1 species
GGUUCCUCCCCUUCCUUAGGCCCAGCCAGAGAGGGGCCCUGUCUCUCUGCUCCUUUCCUCGCCGUCGCCCUCUCUCUGCCAGGCUCUCCUGUUCGUCCUCCAGGGGCCCACGCUAGCCCCUCACCUCCCCUGAAGCCUUUUCUAACCGCUGCGGCCUCCGUGGUCCCCCACGCCUGUGUUCCUGUAGGACGUUUACAGUUCACACGAUGUCUCAUCUCUCGGUAUAUGUCUCCCAGAAACGAAAAUGGACGGCCAUAUGUCACAAGAGAAUGAAAUUUCUGCUCCCAAUCCCUGUCUUCAGAGCUGACCUAGAAGCCAGCCACUCCACUCAGACGAUUACAAGAAAAAAACAAAGUAUUGUAGGUAAAAACAAUACAGCCAAGAAACGCCAUCUUAUGUUUAUACAUUUAGAAGCAUCCUUUGGAGCAGGAAGAACUUAAAUUCUAAAUCUCAAGAUAGCUAACACAGAUGCACUAUUCCAAGGAGCCAGCAAGGAAAAUACAAUCCUGCUUCUCAAACACAUCCCCUGGAAUUGGUGGCAAGUUAUCUUCAGAGAAGAGAAUUGUCACCAGAUUAAGAGAGUAAAGGACCCGAUGACAAG